rnacentral:miRNA from 1 species
UCUGUGCUUGUGUACUCAUAG